ensembl:lncRNA
CCGGUUACUUACAUACACAUAAAAGCGCCUAGUUUCAUUAGAAAUGUAGCCAAGGACCACCUUGCUGUCUGAGUGGAAGGUUGUAGCAUCGAGCUGAAGGUCUAAUUCUGUCGAGAUUAGGUCUGCUAACUCCACUCCAAGCACUGCUGCGCAAAGUUCCAGUCUCGGAAUUGUUUGCUCAGGACGGGGGGCCAGCUUGGCUUUGCCCAUUACAAAUCCGACAUGGUUAUUUCCAGCAGAGUCAGUUACUUUUAGGUAUGCCACAGCGGCAAUAGCUUUUGUGGAUGCGUCAGAAAAUACGCACAAUUCCCUUCUGACAGCUGUUGCGGGGGAAGUUGUAGUGUAGGCUCUGGGAAUAGACAGCUGGGACAGUUCUGUUAAGGAUGUUCUCCACGAUGUCCAUGAUUCCUCCAUUUCUCGAGGCAAAGGCGAGUCCCAGUCACCUUUCUCAGUUGUUAGCUCUCUCAGAAUAGCCUUGCCUUGUAUUGUGACUGGCGCUACAAACCCUAGAGGAUCGUAGAGGCUGUUGAUUGUUGACAAGACACCCCGUCGAGUGUAUGGUCUCUUCUCAUCGGAGACGCUGAAUUGGAAGCAGUCGGUCUCGAGGUCCCAAUUGAUCCCUAGACUACGCUGCAUCGGCAGCGCAUCUGCACUGAGGUCAAGGUCUUUUGCACGAUCUUCAGCCGGAAAGGCCUCCAUGACCUCCUUGUUGUUUGCUGCGAUCUUGUGUAGUCUUAGGUUGGAUUUGGAGAGAAUAUCCUGUGUUUUUUUCAGCAAGUUGACUGCAGCUUCGACUGUGGGUAGGGACUUUAACCCAUCGUCUACAUAGAAGUCGCGCAUCACAAAACGUUGGACGUCAGCGUCAAUGUGGAGUUCACUGACCUGAACAGACUGGUGCAAUCCAUGAAUCGCUACUGCGGGUGAAGGGCUAUUUCCAAAGACGUGGACCGUCAUUCGAUACUCCACAAUGUCUUUGGAGGGGUCGUUAUCUUGGAACCAUAGAAAACGUAGGAAGUUCCUAUCGUCUUCCCUCACUGAAAAACAAUAGAAC